rnacentral:rRNA from 1 species
UGGGGAAUAUUGCACAAUGGGCGCAAGCCUGAUGCAGCCAUGCCGCGUGUGUGAAGAAGGCCUUCGGGUUGUAAAGCACUUUCAGCGAGGAGGAAGGUGGUGAGCUUAAUACGCUCAUCAAUUGACGUUACUCGCAGAAGAAGCACCGGCUAACUCCGUGCCAGCAGCCGCGGUAAUACGGAGGGUGCAAGCGUUAAUCGGAAUUACUGGGCGUAAAGCGCACGCAGGCGGUUUGUUAAGUCAGAUGUGAAAUCCCCGGGCUCAACCUGGGAACUGCAUUUGAAACUGGCAAGCUAGAGUCUCGUAGAGGGGGGUAGAAUUCCAGGUGUAGCGGUGAAAUGCGUAGAGAUCUGGAGGAAUACCGGUGGCGAAGGCGGCCCCCUGGACGAAGACUGACGCUCAGGUGCGAAAGCGUGGGGCAGCAAACAGGAUUAGAUACCCUGGUAGUCCACGCUGUAAACGAUGUCGAUUUUGGAGGUUGUGCCCUUGAGGCGUGGCUUCCGGAGCUAACG